rnacentral:rRNA from 1 species
UACGUAGGGGGCAAGCGUUGUCCGGAAUCAUUGGGCGUAAAGCGCGUGUAGGCGGUCCGGUAAGUCGGUUGUGAAAGUCCAGGGCUCAACCCUGGGAUGCCGACCGAUACUGUCGGACUAGAGUUCGGAAGAGGCGAGUGGAAUUCCCGGUGUAGCGGUGAAAUGCGCAGAUAUCAGGAGGAACACCGGUGGCGAAGGCGGAUCUCUGGGCCUUGCCUGACGCUGAGGCGCGAAAGCUAGGGGAGCGAACAGG